UUUUAAGAAUAGAUGUUUAAACAGUGCUGAAAACACUGAAAUUGAUUUAACGGAUAAAAAGCCCACUGAAAAUCUGUUAGGUAAACCAAUGCAGUUGCGCUUCGAUGCUUUUCGAAAACGAAAAUUAAAAAUUGUGAAAGUUCCAAUGUCACAAUCUACUAGAAAGUCAUAGGUAAAGUAAGUGAAAGUUUUGGUUUCUCUUGCACUUCUCCUUUACGUUAGGUACAGGACCUCAAUAUGAAGGCAUGUGGAGUCAUACGGGUCCCACCCAUGGCUUUCUUUGCGAGACAAAAUCAGCAGAGAGAAAUCAGUGAAUUUUAAGAAUAGCAACUUAAACGUAGAUUGGAAGCUACACUGAAAAACCACCAGAAAAGAAAAUUCAAGCAAAUAAAGGAACCACCGUAGAGGAAGACAAAAUAACAACUGAUGCAGCCAGAAUCGCAGUCCUUUUUGCUGUGGAAAAGGCAUGAAGAAACGGAAAGGGGUUAAACUAAUUGAAACCAGAAAUCUCUUUCUACUUACGUUUAUUUUUGUUUAUUUCCUUUCAUUCUUACAUUUUCCCCUUAGGUGUAAAGAAAAAAGACAUGAGGAGGCACCUUUAAAAUCUAGAAAAGACCAAUUUAAAAAAGGGGCCUCAAAAAGCAACUGAUGCAGCCCUAGAAACAGCCGAAGCUGCAGAAACAAAUUCUGUGGAAUUAUUUGAAGAUUGGGAGAUUGAACCAAUAUGCCAGUUGUUGGCGUAAGGAAAAUGGCAUAGAAAAUCAACUGCAAGAGUUCUAGAAAAUACAAUUAAAAAUACCUUUAUCUCAAAAACUAAAAAAUACCAAGAAAAAAUAGACCGAGUCUGUUUCCGUUUUUACGUAAUACGUACAUACGGACCUCCCACGUUUCAAAUUUUUGAAACAGCAACGAUGAAAACUACUUGCAGUGUACUGAAUAUCCAACAACGAUAAUUACCUCUAAAUAAAAGCACUACUGCUUUUUUCAAGUAUUGUUUUGCAUGGGGUUGAAAUUCGAACCACCAACGAUCGGUUUGAAAUAAAAAAAAACGAUAGAAAAAUAAAGCAUAAUAAAUAAUCUAUUCUAUUCUG